rnacentral:rRNA from 1 species
AGGCAUGCUGGAGGUAUCAGAAGUGCGAAUGCUGACAUAAGUAACGAUAAAGCGGGUGAAAAGCCCGCUCGCCGGAAGACCAAGGGUUCCUGUCCAACGUUAAUCGGGGCAGGGUGAGUCGACCCCUAAGGCGAGGCCGAAAGGCGUAGUCGAUGGGAAACAGGUUAAUAUUCCUGUACUUGGUGUUACUGCGAAGGGGGGACGGAGAAGGCUAUGUUGGCCGGGCGACGGUUGUCCCGGUUUAAGCGUGUAGGCUGGUUUUCCAGGCAAAUCCGGAAAAUCAAGGCUGAGGCGUGAUGACGAGGCACUACGGUGCUGAAGCAACAAAUGCCCUGCUUCCAGGAAAAGCCUCUAAGCAUCAGGUAACAUCAAAUCGUACCCCAAACCGACACAGGUGGUCAGGUAGAGAAUACCAAGGCGCUUGAGAGAACUCGGGUGAAGGAACUAGGCAAAAUGGUGCCGUAACUUCGGGAGAAGGCACGCUGAUAUGUAGGUGAAGUCCCUCGCGGAUGGAGCUGAAAUCAGUCGAAGAUACCAGCUGGCUGCAACUGUUUAUUAAAAACACAGCACUGUGCAAACACGAAAGUGGACGUAUACGGUGUGACGCCUGCCCGGUGCCGGAAGGUUAAUUGAUGGGGUCAGCGCAAGCGAAGCUCUUGAUCGAAGCCCCGGUAAACGGCGGCCGUAACUAUAACGGUCCUAAGGUAGCGAAAUUCCUUGUCGGGUAAGUUCCGACCUGCACGAAUGGCGUAAUGAUGGCCAGGCUGUCUCCACCCGAGACUCAGUGAAAUUGAACUCGCUGUGAAGAUGCAGUGUACCCGCGGCAAGACGGAAAGACCCCGUGAACCUUUACUAUAGCUUGACACUGAACAUUGAGCCUUGAUGUGUAGGAUAGGUGGGAGGCUUAGAAGUGUGGACGCCAGUCUGCAUGGAGCCGACCUUGAAAUACCACCCUUUAAUGUUUGAUGUUCUAACGUUGACCCGUAAUCCGGGUUGCGGACAGUGUCUGGUGGGUAGUUUGACUGGGGCGGUCUCCUCCUAAAGAGUAACGGAGGAGCACGAAGGUUGGCUAAUCCUGGUCGGACAUCAGGAGGUUAGUGCAAUGGCAUAAGCCAGCUUGACUGCGAGCGUGACGGCGCGAGCAGGUGCGAAAGCAGGUCAUAGUGAUCCGGUGGUUCUGAAUGGAAGGGCCAUCGCUCAACGGAUAAAAGGUACUCCGGGGAUAACAGGCUGAUACCGCCCAAGAGUUCAUAUCGACGGCGGUGUUUGGCACCUCGAUGUCGGCUCAUCACAUCCUGGGGCUGAAGUAGGUCCCAAGGGUAUGGCUGUUCGCCAUUUAAAGUGGUACGCGAGCUGGGUUUAGAACGUCGUGAGACAGUUCGGUCCCUAUCUGCCGUGGGCGCUGGAGAACUGAGGGGGGCUGCUCCUAGUACGAGAGGACCGGAGUGGACGCAUCACUGG